rnacentral:pre_miRNA from 1 species
GUUAGGAAAAGGAAGAAAUGGGUAUCUAAGAGCAGUGGCAUUGGAACAUGAAGCAAAACCCAUAGUCUUGUUCCCUAUAUAUUCCGGUGUCAAGAUUUGUUAUGGGGUUUUCGCAGUGCCUCCUAUGCAUAGUGUUCUUAUGUGCUCCUUCCUCUUCCGUUUAGCU